rnacentral:lncRNA from 1 species
UCUGCUGUUACAAAUAAAGUUCAGGAACAUUGGUGACUAAUUUUAGUGUUGCAUCAACCUAACUGACUGUAAGUCUUCUGUCUUAAACACAGACCAAAUCAGGCCAGGCUUGCCCCAGUAAGCAACCAACUACACGUCCCAUUUCUUUAGGGUGUGAUAACAUCAAGAAUAUAAACAGUAAAAUUGAUGUUCCACAUGAAAGGCAGCCAUUUCAGCCAGGUAGAAGAGCUUUCUCUCAAGAUAACCAUCACAUUUCAUUAUGCAGAAGUAUAUGAAAGGAUAUUACUUCCAGUUUCUCUAGGUUCAAAAGAAAGAGGAGUGAAGAGGAGUAAAACACACAUCUAUUAAAAAGCAAGAAGAUUAAAUAAAUUGAAGCUUUUUAUUUCUCUUUCUCUGCCUAAGACUGCCCCAAGAUGUGAUUCUUCUUUGCAGUCUUUCUGGAGAAGUUGUAUGUGACAAGCAAACAUAUCUCCUGAGUGUCCUGUUGGUCUCGUGGCAGCUUGUUGUAAAGUGGAGAAACAUCAUUUCACAUCACUUUUUCUUUGCCUCACUUCUCUCUCUCUUUUUUUUUUUUUUUUUUUUUU